rnacentral:snRNA from 1 species
GGAUAUGAGGGCGAUCUGACUGCAACAUCGGUCAUCCCACUGAUCGCCAGGGUUGAUUCGGCUGAUCUGGCUGGCUAGGCAGGUGUCCCCUUCCUCCCUCACCACUCCAUGUGCGGCCCUCUGAAGCUGCGUGCUCAGUUGAAAAGGAUGGCCUUCCCUGAAUAGAGACGGACUGGGAGCCCGGCG